rnacentral:lncRNA from 1 species
CCCCCACCUGCGCUCUCCACCAGUGCCUCCAGCACGAACCAGCUCCGGGGCCCCCCCAGCGCCCGCAGUGCCCCCGGCAGCGCCUCCAGGGCCAGCGCCCCCGCCUCGGGCUGCACCAGUACAAACCAGUAUAAACCAGUAUAAACCAGUAUAAACCAGUAUCGACCAGUACGGACCAGUAAGGGCCCAGGGAGGGGCCAUGGGGCCGCCCAGCCCCCCCCCAGCGCCUCCCAGUAAGGAUUAGAGCCCUCCCGGUAUGGACCGGGAGCCUCCCAGUAUGGACCAGUAUGGACUGGGAGCCUCCCAGUAUGGACCAGUAUGGACUGGGAGCCUCCCAGUACGGAUUGGGAGCCUCCCAGUAGCUCCCAGUACAUCCCAGGGGCUUCCCAGUCUGUCCCCGAGCCUUCCCAGCGCAUCCCAGUAUGGCGUGGGACCCUCCCAGUAUGGACCAGGGCCCUCCCAGUGCCUCCCAGUUCAACCCUGAGCCCUCCCAGUAUGGGGCAGGACCUUCCCAGUAUGGACCAGGGCCCUCCCAGUGCCCCCCAGUAUGGACCAGAGCCCUCCCGGUAUGGACCAGUAUGGCUUGGGACCCUCCCACUACAUCCCAAGAGCCUCCCAGUAUGAACCAGUACCCUCCCAGUGCCUCCCAGUAUGGACCAGGACCCUCCCAGUGCCCCCCAGUAUGGACCAGUAUGGCUUGGGACCCUCGCAGUACACCCCAAGAGCCUCCCAGUAUGCACCAGUGCCCUCCCAGUGCCUCCCAGUAUGCACCAGUGCCCUCCCAGUGCCCCCCAGUCUGAACCAGAGCCCCCCCAGCGCCCCCCAGUAUGAACCAGGCCCCGCCCAGGGCCCUCCCAGUGCCCCCCCAGGCCCCUCCCAGUACGGACCAGUACACCCCAGUGCCCCCAGUACCUGCAGGCACUCGUCCAGGCUCCGCAGGGCGCAGGCGGCCGCCCCCCGCACGAGGCCCUCGGGGUCCCCCAGGCCCCUCCGCAGCGCCCCCAGCACCGGGGCCAGGUACCUGGGGGGGGGGCACCGGGGUGAGGAACCCCCCAAAAACCCCAAAUCCUGCCCGAUUUGCCCCAAACACCCCAAAGCCCU